rnacentral:rRNA from 1 species
UACGUAGGGUGCAAGCGUUGUCCGGAAUUAUUGGGCGUAAAGAGCUCGUAGGCGGCUGAUCGCGUCGGUUGUGAAAGCUCAGGGCUCAACCCUGAGACGCCAAUCGAUACGGAUCGUCUAGAGGUAGGUAGGGGAAAGUGGAAUUCCUGGUGUAGCGGUGAAAUGCGCAGAUAUCAGGAGGAACACCGGUGGCGAAGGCGGCUUUCUGGGCCUUACCUGACGCUGAGGAGCGAAAGCUGGGGGAGCAAACAGG